rnacentral:rRNA from 1 species
CCUACGGGUGGCAGCAGUGGGGAAUAUUGCACAAUGGGGGAAACUCUGAUGCAGCGACGCCGCGUGAGUGAAGAAGUAUUUCGGUAUGUAAAGCUCUAUCAGCAGGGAAGAACAUGACGGUACCUGGCUAAGACGCCCCGUCUAACUACGUGCCAGCAGCCGCGGUACUACGUAGGGGGCAAGCGUUAGCCGGAUUUACUGGGUGGAAAGGGAGCGUAGACGGCCAGACAAGUCAGAAGUGAAAGCCCAGGGCCCAAACCUGGGACUGCUUUUGAAACUGCCGAGCUGGAGUGCAGGAGAGGUGAGCGGAAUUCCUAGUGUAGCGGUGAAAUGCGUAGAUAUUAGGAGGAACACCAGUGGCGAAGGCGGCUUACUGGACUGUAACUGACGUUGAGGCUCGAAAGCGUGGGGAGCAAACAGGAUUAGAUACCCUGGUAGUC